CUCAGACCUGUAAUUCAAGCACUCAGAAGGCUGAGGCAGGAGGACUGCCAUGAUUUUGAGGCCAUCCUGGGCUAUAGCCUGGAAUAUAUGCUUCUUAUAGAACCUCCUUACCCAGGAGAAACCCUGAGAGAAAGACAGGGGAGCCUUCAGAGGCCAUCAGUGAACUUCCCAGCUCUGUUGCCUGACAGCAAGUAAGUCCUGUGGGUCCUGGGAAGCCCAAGCUACAUGGAAUAUGAGCUGAGUGCAGAAAAGGACACUUGAUGUCCCUGGACAUGUGCUUCGCAUGACUCUGCCUGGGACCCACAAGACAGUGUGGGCUAGGCAAGCCAAAGGUUGGACCUCCAUGAACUAGAGUUUCAUAAAAUACCAAUGCUUGGCGUUUAUCUCCAGAAGUUCUGAUUCAAGUGGACUAGAAUGAGACGCUGGCAUUAUUGUAAGACUCCAACACGGUCCCAACAGACCACCUGGAUUGAGGACGCUUGGAACCAGAAGCUCAAGCGUUGCAGUGAGUGGCACUGGCAGCAGACAACAUCCUCACCCUGAGACUUACUAGGCGUGACGUAAUCACAAGUGUGAUGAUUAGGAGGUCUUUUGUACACCGCCUUUAUCAAAUGAAGGCUGU